rnacentral:misc_RNA from 1 species
AAAAAAAAAAAAAACCCCCGACAUUCAUUGCUCUGGUCAUUCUGCAUGUGGAAACUGGAUUAAUUUCAUUAAUAGUUACAAAAGUUAUCACCAAAUUACUUAGUGGUUAGCAAAUUUGACCGAUCACAAGUAAAACAACGAAAGUUCUAAUUGGGUGUCAAUCGGGUUACUUGGACACAAAAUCUGGCAGGUGCCAAGUUCCAGCCUUGAAGUCUGAAGCAUCACUGAUUGAACAUUUUAUCACAAGUAAGACGUGUUAAGUGGGGCCCUCACCCUAGCACUUGGUCCUCCUCAAACAGAGCACCAAUGAAAUAUCCAAAGUUAAAUAACUCCCAACAUAAAACAACCUAAUCCAAUGAGAGAAAGUUAAAAAAAACUUUCUAAUAUCAACAAAACCCAACAACCCAGACAAUUCACCCUUAAUUCCAGCAAGCUCUAUGCAACUUUAUCCAGACAUUGAAAGCAAUAUGGGGGGAAAAAAAGACUCACUUUCACCCAUAAUUAUUGGAAGAUGAUAGACAAGCAGCAUCUAAAUAAGGGUCGCGUUUUUGGAGUAGAAAUUAUUCUCCUCAAUCGAAGUCCUCAACAUCUCAAAGUUUAAUUUAGGAUACUAGGGUCACUUUUGUGAUAAUCAGCAAGAGCUUUCAAAGUAGAAGGCUUCUUCAAACAAAAGCAAGUAACUACUAAUAACCCUCAUACCUGUGAUAGUAACCUUCAAAGAAGAAUAUUACUUACUGGAAUUGUUGCUUAAAUAUUUCUUGACCAUUGUAAACAUAUGGAGGACCACCUCCUUGCUUUAGCGAAAAUCCCCUCCAGAACCAUAUCACCUUCCAUGUUUCUACUUCCUUCUUCUUCCAAUUAUUAUUCUUCUACUUCUUCAGGGAAUUGGAAAUAAAAUUGAAGUUUCCGCAUGUGAGAAAAAGAAAGAAUCCAGUAGAGAUGAGAUACUCAUCAAUUGGAAUAAUCUUGCGAUGGAAUAUAAUCAAAAUAAUCCUAAUCUUCCUCCUGGAUAGGUAUUUUUCCAAAUUGUCUUCAACAAAGCAUUUUCUCCUAAGUGGUAUAAUGGCAUUCCAAGCUCUAAGUUAAGCAAUCACUUAUUUUGAAAUUUUUAUUUUGAUUUCCAAUGAAAUAAUUGAGCGUUUUCUUUUUAGAUUUGUACAUAAGAGUAACUAGAGAGAGUGGGUGGCAAUGGGGGUGUGAGGCACGGGAGGGAAGGGGAGGGGAGGCGGUUUGGCAGGUGGUUUUGAG